rnacentral:rRNA from 1 species
AGUCGAGGGGUAUAGUUCUUCGGAACUAGAGACCGGCGCACGGGUGCGUAACGCGUAUGCAAUCUACCUUUCACAAAGGGAUAGCCCAGAGAAAUUUGGAUUAAUACCUUAUAGUAUAUAUGAAUGGCAUCAUUUAUAUAUUAAAGAUUUAUCGGUGAAAGAUGAGCAUGCGUCCCAUUAGCUAGUUGGUAAGGUAACGGCUUACCAAGGCAACGAUGGGUAGGGGUCCUGAGAGGGAGAUCCCCCACACUGGUACUGAGACACGGACCAGACUCCUACGGGAGGCAGCAGUGAGGAAUAUUGGACAAUGGGCGCAAGCCUGAUCCAGCCAUGCCGCGUGCAGGAUGACGGUCCUAUGGAUUGUAAACUGCUUUUAUACAGGAAGAAACACUUGCUCGUGAGCAAACUUGACGGUACUGUAAGAAUAAGGAUCGGCUAACUCCGUGCCAGCAGCCGCGGUAAUACGGAGGAUCCAAGCGUUAUCCGGAAUCAUUGGGUUUAAAGGGUCCGUAGGCGGUCAGGUAAGUCAGUGGUGAAAGCCCAUCGCUCAACGGUGGAACGGCCAUUGAUACUGUCUGACUUGAAUUAUUAGGAAGUAACUAGAAUAUGUAGUGUAGCGGUAAAAUGCUUAGAGAUUACAUGGAAUACCAAUUGCGAAGGCAGGUUACUACUAAUAUAUUGACGCUGAUGGACGAAAGCGUGGGUAGCG